rnacentral:tRNA from 1 species
GCCAGGGUGGCGAAACUGGUAGACGCGCCAGAUUUAGGAUCUGGUGUCCUUUGGACGUGCAGGUUCGAUUCCUGUCCCUGGUA